rnacentral:rRNA from 1 species
UACAGAGGGGGCAAGCGUUGUUCGGAAUUACUGGGCGUAAAGGGCGCGUAGGCGGCCUGCUAAGUCGAACGUGAAAUCCCCGGGCUCAACCCGGGAACUGCGUCCGAUACUGGUAGGCUUGAAUCCGGGAGAGGGAUGCGGAAUUCCAGGUGUAGCGGUGAAAUGCGUAGAUAUCAGGAGGAACACCGGUGGCGAAGGCGGUGGUCUGGGCCGGCACUGACGCUGAGGAGCGAAAGCGUGGGGAGCGAACAGG